UACGUAGGGUGCGAGCGUUGUCCGGAAUUAUUGGGCGUAAAGAGCUUGUAGGCGGUUUGUCGCGUCUGCCGUGAAAAUUCGAGGCUCAACCUCGAACUUGCGGUGGGUACGGGCAGACUAGAGUGUGGUAGGGGAGACUGGAAUUCCUGGUGUAGCGGUGGAAUGCGCAGAUAUCAGGAAGAACACCGGUGGCGAAGGCGGCUCUCUGGGCCUUACCUGACGCUGAGGAGCGAAAGCGUGGGUAGCGAACAGG
rnacentral:rRNA from 1 species